rnacentral:rRNA from 1 species
UACGGAGGGUGCAAGCGUUGUUCGGAUUUACUGGGCGUAAAGCGCGCGCAGGUGGGUGAACAAGUCGGAAGUGAAAUCUUGAGGCUCAACCUCGAGGCUGCUCCCGAAACUGUUCGCCUAGGGACUGGUAGAGGCUGGUAGAAUUCCCGGUGUAGCGGUGGAAUGCGUAGAGAUCGGGAAGAAUACCUGUGGCGAAGGCGCUCUGCUGGACCAUAACUGACACUCAGGGACGAAAGCUAGGGGAGCGAAUGGG